GGAGGAGGGAACCUACUGGACCUCACAGUGUAGGUAUGGAGGGAGGAGGAGGGAACCUACUGGACCUCACAGUGUAGGUAUGGAGGGAACCUACUGGACCUCACAGUGUAGGUAUGGAGGGAGGAGGAGGAGGGAACCUACUGGACCUCACAGUGUAGGUAUGGAGGGAGGAGGAGGGAACCUACUGGACCUCACAGUGUAGGUAUGGAGGGAACCUACUGGACCUCACAGUGUAGGUAUGGAGGGAGGAGGAGGGAACCUACUGGACCUCACAGUGUAGGUAUGGAGGGAACCUACUGGACCUCACAGUGUAGGUAUGGAGGGAACCUACUGGACCUCACAGUGUAGGUAUGGAGGAAGGAGGAGGGAACCUACUGGACCUCACAGUGUAGGUAUGGAGGGAGGAGGAGGAGGGAACCUACUGGACCUCACAGUGUAGGUAUGGAGGGAGGAGGAGGAGGGAACCUACUGGACCUCACAGUGUAGGUAUGGAGGGAGGAGGAGGGAACCUACUGGACCUCACAGUGUAGGUAUGGAGGGAGGAGGAGGAGGGAACCUACUGGACCUCACAGUGUAGGUAUGGAGGGAGGAGGAGGGAACCUACUGGACCUCACAGUGUAGGUAUGGAGGGAGGAGGAGGGAACCUACUGGACCUCACAGUGUAGGUAUGGAGGGAGGAGGAGGGAACCUACUGGACCUCACAGUGUAGGUAUGGAGGGAGGAGGAGAGAACCUACUGGACCUCACAGUGUAGGUAUGGAGGGAGGAGGAGAGAACCUACUGGACCUCACAGUGUAGGUAUGGAGGGAGGAGGAGGAGGGAACCUACUGGACCUCACAGUGUAGGUAUGGAGGGAGGAGGAGGGAACCUA